rnacentral:rRNA from 1 species
UACGGAGGGGGCUAGCGUUGUUCGGAAUUACUGGGCGUAAAGGGCGCGUAGGCGGCCACCGCAAGUCGACUGUGAAAUCUCCGGGCUUAACCCGGAAAGGUCAACUGAUACUGCAGGGCUAGAGUGCAGAAGGGGCAACUGGAAUUCUCGGUGUAGCGGUGAAAUGCGUAGAUAUCGAGAGGAACACCUGCGGCGAAGGCGGGUUGCUGGGCUGACACUGACGCUGAUGUGCGAAAGCCAGGGGAGCGAACGGG